CCGUAACUAUAACGGUCCUAAGGUAGCGAAAUUCCUUGUCGGGUAAGUUCCGACCUGCACGAAUGGCGUAAUGAUGGCCAGGCUGUCUCCACCCGAGACUCAGUGAAAUUGAACUCGCUGUGAAGAUGCAGUGUACCCGCGGCAAGACGGAAAGACCCCGUGAACCUUUACUAUAGCUUGACACUGAACAUUGAGCCUUGAUGUGUAGGAUAGGUGGGAGGCUUUGAAGUGUGGACGCCAGUCUGCAUGGAGCCGACCUUGAAAUACCACCCUUUAAUGUUUGAUGUUCUAACGUUGACCCGUAAUCCGGGUUGCGGACAGUGUCUGGUGGGUAGUUUGACUGGGGCGGUCUCCUCCUAAAGAGUAACGGAGGAGCACGAAGGUUGGCUAAUCCUGGUCGGACAUCAGGAGGUUAGUGCAAUGGCAUAAGCCAGCUUGACUGCGAGCGUGACGGCGCGAGCAGGUGCGAAAGCAGGUCAUAGUGAUCCGGUGGUUCUGAAUGGAAGGGCCAUCGCUCAACGGAUAAAAGGUACUCCGGGGAUAACAGGCUGAUACCGCCCAAGAGUUCAUAUCGACGGCGGUGUUUGGCACCUCGAUGUCGGCUCAUCACAUCCUGGGGCUGAAGUAGGUCCCAAGGGUAUGGCUGUUCGCCAUUUAAAGUGGUACGCGAGCUGGGUUUAGAACGUCGUGAGACAGUUCGGUCCCUAUCUGCCGUGGGCGCUGGAGAACUGAGGGGGGCUGCUCCUAGUACGAGAGGACCGGAGUGGACGCAUCACUGGUGUUCGGGUUGUCAUGCCAAUGGCACUGCCCGGUAGCUAAAUGCGGAAGAGAUAAGUGCUGAAAGCAUCUAAGCACGAAACUUGCCCCGAGAUGAGUUCUCCCUGACUCCUUGAGAGUCCUGAAGGAACGUUGAAGACGACGACGUUGAUAGGCCGGGUGUGUAAGCGCAGCGAUGCGUUGAGCUAACCGGUACUAAUGAACCGUGAGGCUUAACCUUACAACGCCGAAGGUGUUU
rnacentral:rRNA from 1 species